GCCAGCAUGGUGUAGUGGUUUGAACAUUGGACUACAACUCUGGAGAUCAGGGUUCAAAUCUCUGUUCAGCCA